rnacentral:rRNA from 1 species
UUAAGUGACUAAGCGUACACGGUGGAUGCCUAGGCAGUCAGAGGCGAUGAAGGGCGUGCUAAUCUGCGAAAAGCGUCGGUAAGGUGAUAUGAACCGUUAUAACCGGCGAUACCCGAAUGGGGAAACCCAGUGUGUUUCGACACACUAUCAUGUCAUGAAUACAUAGUGGCAUGAGGCGAACCGGGGGAACUGAAACAUCUAAGUACCCCGAGGAAAAGAAAUCAACCGAGAUUCCCCCAGUAGCGGCGAGCGAACGGGGAGGAGCCCAGAACCUGAAUCGGCUUGUGUGUUAGUGGAAGCGUCUGGAAAGUCGCGCAGUAAAGGGUGAUAGCCCCGUACACUAAAAUGCACAGGUCGUGAGUUCGAUGAGUAGGGCGGGACACGUGACAUCCUGUCUGAAUAUGGGGGGACCAUCCUCCAAGGCUAAAUACUCCUGACUGACCGAUAGUGAACCAGUACCGUGAGGGAAAGGCGAAAAGAACCCCGGCGAGGGGAGUGAAAUAGAACCUGAAACCGUGUACGUACAAGCAGUGGGAGCACCUUCGUGGUGUGACUGCGUACCUUUUGUAUAAUGGGUCAGCGACUUAUAUUUUGUAGCAAGGUUAACCGUAUAGGGGAGCCGUAGGGAAACCGAGUCUUAACUGGGCGAAUAGUUGCAAGGUAUAGACCCGAAACCCGGUGAUCUAGCCAUGGGCAGGUUGAAGGUUGGGUAACACUAACUGGAGGACCGAACCGACUAAUGUUGAAAAAUUAGCGGAUGACUUGUGGCUGGGGGUGAAAGGCCAAUCAAACCGGGAGAUAGCUGGUUCUCCCCGAAAGCUAUUUAGGUAGCGCCUCGUGAACUCAUCUUCGGGGGUAGAGCACUGUUUCGGCUAGGGGGCCAUCCCGGCUUACCAAACCGAUGCAAACUCCGAAUACCGAAGAAUGUUAUCACGGGAGACACACGGCGGGUGCUAACGUCCGUCGUGAAGAGGGAAACAACCCAGACCGCCAGCUAAGGUCCCAAAGUCAUGGUUAAGUGGGAAACGAUGUGGGAAGGCACAGACAGCCAGGAUGUUGGCUUAGAAGCAGCCAUCAUUUAAAGAAAGCGUAAUAGCUCACUGGUCGAGUCGGCCUGCGCGGAAGAUGUAACGGGGCUAAACCAUGCACCGAAGCUGCGGCAGCGACGCUUAGGCGUUGUUGGGUAGGGGAGCGUUCUGUAAGCCGUUGAAGGUGGCCUGUGAGGGUUGCUGGAGGUAUCAGAAGUGCGAAUGCUGACAUAAGUAACGAUAAAGCGGGUGAAAAGCCCGCUCGCCGGAAGACCAAGGGUUCCUGUCCAACGUUAAUCGGGGCAGGGUGAGUCGACCCCUAAGGCGAGGCUGAAAAGCGUAGUCGAUGGGAAACAGGUUAAUAUUCCUGUACUUGGUGUUACUGCGAAGGGGGGACGGAGAAGGCUAGGCUGGCCGGGCGACGGUUGUCCCGGUUUAAGCGUGUAGGGGGUGUGACCUGGUAAAUCCGGUUGCAUAUCAACCCUGAGGCGUGAUGACGAUGCACUACGGUGCAGAAGUAGUUGAUGCCCUGCUUCCAGGAAAAUCCUCUAAGCUCCAGGUAACAUUGAAUCGUACCCCAAACCGACACAGGUGGUCAGGUAGAGAAUACCAAGGCGCUUGAGAGAACUCGGGUGAAGGAACUAGGCAAAAUGGUGCCGUAACUUCGGGAGAAGGCACGCUGGCAUGUAGGUGAAGUCCCUUGCGGAUGGAGCUGAAGCCAGUCGAAGAUACCAGCUGGCUGCAACUGUUUAAUAAAAACACAGCACUGUGCAAACACGAAAGUGGACGUAUACGGUGUGACGCCUGCCCGGUGCUGGAAGGUUAAUUGAUGGGGUCAGCCGCAAGGCGAAGCUCUUGAUCGAAGCCCCAGUAAACGGCGGCCGUAACUAUAACGGUCCUAAGGUAGCGAAAUUCCUUGUCGGGUAAGUUCCGACCUGCACGAAUGGCGUAAUGAUGGCCAGGCUGUCUCCACCCGAGACUCAGUGAAAUUGAACUCGCUGUGAAGAUGCAGUGUACCCGCGGCAAGACGGAAAGACCCCGUGAACCUUUACUAUAGCUUGACACUGAACAUUGAGCCUUGAUGUGUAGGAUAGGUGGGAGGCUUUGAAGCGUGGACGCCAGUCUGCGUGGAGCCAUCCUUGAAAUACCACCCUUUAAUGUUUGAUGUUCUAACUCGGCCCCGUGAUCCGGGGUGAGGACAGUGUCUGGUGGGUAGUUUGACUGGGGCGGUCUCCUCCCAAAGAGUAACGGAGGAGCACGAAGGUUAGCUAAUCACGGUCGGACAUCGUGAGGUUAGUGCAAAGGCAUAAGCUAGCUUGACUGCGAGAGUGACGGCUCGAGCAGGUACGAAAGUAGGUCUUAGUGAUCCGGUGGUUCUGAAUGGAAGGGCCAUCGCUCAACGGAUAAAAGGUACUCCGGGGAUAACAGGCUGAUACCGCCCAAGAGUUCAUAUCGACGGCGGUGUUUGGCACCUCGAUGUCGGCUCAUCACAUCCUGGGGCUGAAGUAGGUCCCAAGGGUAUGGCUGUUCGCCAUUUAAAGUGGUACGCGAGCUGGGUUUAGAACGUCGUGAGACAGUUCGGUCCCUAUCUGCCGUGGGCGUUGGAAGAUUGAGAGGGGUUGCUCCUAGUACGAGAGGACCGGAGUGAACGCACCACUGGUGUUCGGGUUGUCAUGCCAAUGGCAUUGCCCGGUAGCUAAGUGCGGAAAAGAUAAGCGCUGAAAGCAUCUAAGCGCGAAACUUGCCUCAAGAUGAGUCUUCCCUGGGCCUUUAAGGCCCCUGAAGGAACGUUUAAGACUAAGACGUUGAUAGGCUGGGUGUGUAAGUGCAGCGAUGCAUUGAGCUAACCAGUACUAAUGAUCCGUGAGGCUUAACCU